rnacentral:rRNA from 1 species
AUGAAUGUUGGCGGCGUGUCUAAGGCAUGCAAGUCGAGCGGAUUAUUUCGUGUAGCAAUACGUGAAAUAGUCAGCGGCAAACGGGUGCGUAACACAUUGGUAACUUGCCUCGAAGUCGGGCACAACCAGCCGAAAGGUUGGCUAAUUCCACGAUGGUCAUACAGGCGUAAAGCUUGUAUGUAAAGCCGCAAGGCGCUUCGAGAGAGACCUAUGGCCUAUCAGCUAGUUGGUGAGGUAACGGCUCACCAAGGCUAUGACGGGUAGGGGACGUGAGAGCGUGAUCCCCCUCACUGGAACUGAGACACUGUCCAGACACCUACGGGUGGCUGCAGUCGAGAAUAUUCCCCAAUGGGCGAAAGCCUGAGGGAGCGACGCCGCGUGUGGGAUGAAGGGCUUCGGCUCGUAAACCACUUUUACCAGGGACGAAUACUGACGGUACCUGGAGAAUAAGAGGUUGCUAACUCUGU